GGGGACUGUGUGGCUCAGUGGUAAAGUAACUGAUUGACAUGAAGAACAUCCUCGGUUCAAUUCCUGGCAUCUCCA
rnacentral:tRNA from 1 species